rnacentral:rRNA from 1 species
GUCGAACGAUGAAGCCGGAGCUUGCUCUGGUGGAUUAGUGGCGAACGGGUGAGUAACACGUGAGUAACCUGCCCUUGACUCUGGAAUAAGCGUUGGAAACGACGUCUAAUACUGGAUACGAGCUUCAGCCGCAUGGCUAGGAGCUGGAAAGAAUUUCGGUCAAGGAUGGACUCGCGGCCUAUCAGGUAGUUGGUGAGGUAAUGGCUCACCAAGCCUACGACGGGUAGCCGGCCUGAGAGGGUGACCGGCCACACUGGAACUGAGACACGGUCCAGACUCCUACGGGAGGCAGCAGUGGGGAAUAUUGCACAAUGGGCGAAAGCCUGAUGCAGCAACGCCGCGUGAGGGACGACGGCCUUCGGGUUGUAAACCUCUUUUAGUAGGGAAGAAGCGAAAGUGACGGUACCUGCAGAAAAAGCACCGGCUAACUACGUGCCAGCAGCCGCGGUAAUACGUAGGGUGCAAGCGUUAUCCGGAAUUAUUGGGCGUAAAGAGCUCGUAGGCGGUUUGUCGCGUCUGCUGUGAAAACUGGAGGCUCAACCUCCAGCCUGCAGUGGGUACGGGCAGACUAGAGUGCGGUAGGGGAGAUUGGAAUUCCUGGUGUAGCGGUGGAAUGCGCAGAUAUCAGGAGGAACACCAAUGGCGAAGGCAGAUCUCUGGGCCGUAACUGACGCUGAGGAGCGAAAGCAUGGGGAGCGAACAGGAUUAGAUACCCUGGUAGUCCAUGCCGUAAACGUUGGGAACUAGAUGUAGGGACCAUUCCACGGUUUCUGUGUCGCAGCUAACGCAUUAAGUUCCCCGCCUGGGGAGUACGGCCGCAAGGCUAAAACUCAAAGGAAUUGACGGGGGCCCGCACAAGCGGCGGAGCAUGCGGAUUAAUUCGAUGCAACGCGAAGAACCUUACCAAGACUUGACAUAUACGAGAACGGGCUAGAAAUAGUCAACUCUUUGGACACUCGUAAACAGGUGGUGCAUGGUUGUCGUCAGCUCGUGUCGUGAGAUGUUGGGUUAAGUCCCGCAACGAGCGCAACCCUCGUUCUUUGUUGCCAGCACGUAAUGGUGGGAACUCAAAGG